UAUCGCUGCCCUCCUUGGGCGUUUCCUCCCUAGACUUAGGCCACUCGUUCGCGGGUGGCCUUUUUUCUUGCCCGC
rnacentral:sRNA from 1 species